rnacentral:lncRNA from 1 species
GAGUCUGCAGGUUUCAAACCUAAACAGCGCUCUUCAUCCUGGACGUGCGAUGGGGGAGGAGUCGGCCUGCUCAGUCCCCACGACAUAGCAGGACUAGGUUGACAGACAACCGAGAUGGGACACAUCUUGAGUCCCUCACAGUCCUUGGAGGAAGGCAGACGAGAAAAAGACAAGAAAAGUGUUGAUUGCCUGCGCUUCUUAUUAAACAUCGGCGCGUUCACUGACGAGGAAGCAAACACCGAUCUGGCGUACCACGAGCGGGUGUAUUUUCCUUUCACAAAUACUGCUUCAUUUUGAGCAUCAUAACCCUGAGGUGGGACGUUAUCACCACUUUUUCCACCGAGAGGUGACAGGUUCAGAGGUUGUUUGUCCACGUUUGCACAGCGUGUGAAGGGGAACUGAAAUUGGGAUCUACUUUCCAUACCUUUAUUCUAAGCAAUUAUCAAAUGCAAAAAAGGGAGGAGAGGAGGAGAAACAGAAAAAAUGAGGAUAAACCUCAUCCCCUCCUCAAGGUUAUAUAUAAUUCUCCUUUGAAGAUAAAAUAGCAUUUGUUAUAGA